rnacentral:tRNA from 1 species
AUGGGCAUGGCGAAAUUGGUAGACGCAAUUAUUUAAGGUGUAAUCGAUAUAAAUCAUGUGAGUUCAAAUCUCACUGCCCAUA